GGAGCCGUGGCCGAGUGGUAAGGCGGCGGAUUGCUAAUCCGUAGCACCUUCGGGUGUCGCCAGGUUCGAAUCCUGCCGGCUCCGCCA
rnacentral:tRNA from 1 species